rnacentral:rRNA from 1 species
UGCAGUCGUACGAGAGUUUUUAACUCUAGUGGCGGACGGGUGAGUAACACGUGAGAAUUUACCUUUAGGAGGGGGAUAACAGCGUAUCAAUAGAUAUUACGGAAACGGCUGCUAAUACCCCAUAUGCUUUUGAGUGAAAUAGAUUUAUCUGCCUAAAGAGAAGCUCGCGGCUGAUUAGCUUGUUGGUAAGGUAAUGGCUUACCAAGGCGACGAUCAGUAUCUGGUUUGAGAGGACGAUCAGACACACUGGAACUGAGACACGGUCCAGACUCCUACGGGAGGCAGCAGUGGGGAAUUUUCCGCAAUGGGCGAAAGCCUGACGGAGCAAUACCGCGUGAGGGAAGACGGCCUAUGGGUUGUAAACCUCUUUUUUCAGGGAGGAAUUCAAUGACGUGUACCUGAGGAAUAAGCAUCGGCUAACUCCGUGCCAGCAGCCGCGGUAAUACG